rnacentral:rRNA from 2 species
GAUCGUACCCGUAUAAUGAGAUAACUGUAAUAACUCUAGAGCUAUAUACAUGCCUCGAAGCCCUGACACUGCUACUUGUCGGCAUGUCGGGCGGAUGGUAGGUAGGUGGGGAAUGGGUGCACUUAUUAGAUCAGAAGCCAACCGACUGUGUGUGCGUGCUUGCAUGUGCACCAGUUGAGGCACCUCUGGUGACUCUGGAUAAUUGUUACAGAUCGCAGUCGGCCUUGAGUCGGCGACGGGUCCUUCAAAUGUCUGCCCUAUCAACUUUCGAUGGUAGGUGACCUGCCUACCAUGGUGAUAACGGGUAACGGGGAAUCAGGGUUCGAUUCCGGAGAGGGAGCCUGAGAAACGGCUACCACUUCCAAGGGAGGCAGCAGGCGCGCAAAUUACCCACUCCCGGCACGGGGAGGUGGUGACGAAAAAUACCGAUGCGGGACUCCUUCAAGAGGCUCCGUAAUCGGAAUGAGUGGACUCUAAAUCCUUUCACGAGGAUCAAUUGGAGGGCAAGUCUGGUGCCAGCAGCCGCGGUAACUCCAGCUCCAAUAGCGUAUAUUAAAGUUGCUGCAGUUAAAAAGCUCGUAGUUGGAUCUCGGUGGUAUUGUUGCCUGUUGGUAUUUGAGCGGUAGUGCGCGACCGACAGUGCUCUAUUGUUCUGCUCGCCUCGACUUCUGUCUGCCUACUCGUCAGUUGGCUCUGCAUUGGUGCUAUUGUGGCGCGAUUGCAUGUGCCGGAUGCUGGAGGCGGGAGGUCGGCGAUGUUGGACGAUGGUGUGGCUGCGGUCAUAGAAGAGUGCUACCGAUUCAAGCCGACG